rnacentral:lncRNA from 1 species
CCUGCCCAGGCUCUCUUGCCUGCAGCCAUGUAAGAUGUCUCUUUUGCUCUUCUUUCAUCUUCCACCAUGAUCAUGAGGUCUCCUCAGCCAUGUGAAACAGGAUGUCAUGGGAAUUCUGCUUCUUGGCAAUUUUCACGGAUUGUAAAAUUAGCUUACCAACUUGCAUAAAAACUUCUGUAUGUUAUUGAAUAUCAUCAGUUUUAGCAAGCAUUCUUGUCUCAUUCCUGAUUUUAGAGGAAAUACUUGAACUUCUCACUCGAAAGGAACUAAAAUAAUUCUGAGUACUAGCAAGGACUAAGAUGAAGUUCAAUGUUAUGACUGCAAAGUGAAAUGAUCAGAAGUUUCAUGGCCAUGAGUACUGCUGCCUGGCCCGGGCAUGAGAAAUGAGUUUGCUCUAGACUGCAGAUUGUGAAGACGAGCUUUGCAAAAAUCUAACAUCUAGUGCAUUCUGACUAUGGAGAGGAUAUAAUUGAUACCUUGAGAUCUCCUGAACAUACUGACAUUUGGUGGUCAUUGCUUCCUCUCUGAACACCUUCCUUAAUGUGAGAAGGAACUUGGAAUUUGGAUACUACAUAUUUAAUACAAAUAUUUGCUCGGUAUUCAGAAUCAUAUGUGUCAUAUGGCCUUUCUUGACUACUGUGAUGUGCUGGCUCCCCAACAGAUACACCUGCAUCCUAAUCCCUAGAAACUGUGAAUGUGACCUUAUUUACAAAAAGAAUCUUUGCAGAUGUAAUUAAGUAUUUUAAGAUGAGAUCAUCCAGGAUUACCACUCAGCCCUAAAUCCAUUGACCAAGUGUCCUUAUAUGGGACAGAAGAGGAGAAAAAGGAUAAAACAGAAGGAAGUAAAGCUCUCUGAUCAUAGAGACAGAGAUUGGUGAUAGGCAACCACCAGCCAAGGGACACAUGGAACCACCAGAAGCCAGAAGAGCCAAGGAAAAAUUUUCCUCUGGAACAUUUAAAGGGAGCAUAGCCCUCUGAUGCUUUGAUUUAGGAUUUCUGACCUCUAGAACGAUGAAAGAAUAAAUUUGUGUGUUGG